rnacentral:rRNA from 1 species
GACGAACGCUGGCGGCGUGCUUAACACAUGCAAGUCGAACGAAGUGGCGAACGGGUGAGUAACGCGUAAUCAACCUGCCCUUCAGAGGGGGACAACAGUUGGAAACGACUGCUAAUACCGCAUACUGAAGGAGGGCAUUGCGUCUGAUUAGCUAGUUGGAGGGGUAACGGCCCACCAAGGCGAUGAUCAGUAGCGGGUCGGGGAGGAUGAACGGCCAGAUUGGGACUGAGACACGGCCCAGACGCCUACGGGAGGCAGCAGUGGGGAAUCUUCGGCAAUGGAGGAAAGUCUGACAGAGCAACGACGCGUGAGUGAAGAAGGUUUUCGGAUCGUAAAGCUCUGUUGUAAGAGAAGCGGUAUCGUACCAGAAAGCCACGGCUAACUACGUGCCAGCCGCCGCGGUAAUAC